CCUACGGGCGGCAGCAGUGGGGAAUAUUGCUCAAUGGGCGUAAGCCUGAUGCAGCAACGCCGCGUGAGCGAUGAAGGCUUUCGGGUCGUUAAGCUCUGUCCUCAAGGAAGAUAAUGACGGUACUUGUGGAGGAAGCCCCGGCUAACUACGUGCCAGCAGCCGUGGGAAUACGUAGGGGGCUAGCGUUAUCCGGAAUUACUGGGCGUAAAGGGUGCGUAGGUGGUUUCUUAAGUCAGAGGUGAAAGGCUACGGCUCAACCGUAGUAAGCCGUUGAAACUGGAAAACUUGAGUGCAGGAGAGGUGAGUGGAAUUCCUGGUGUAGCGGUGAAAUGCGUAGAUAUUAGGAGGAACACCGAGUGCGAAGGCGGCUCACUGGACUGUAACUGACACUGAGGCACGAAAGCGUGGGGAGCAAACAGGAUUAGAUACCCUGGUAGUC
rnacentral:rRNA from 1 species